rnacentral:rRNA from 1 species
UUCCGGUUGAUCCUGCCGGACCUGACUGCUAUCGGAUUGAUACUAAGCCAUGCGAGUCAUUGUAGCAAUACAAGGCAUACGGCUCAGUAACGCGUAGUCAACCUAACCUAUGGACGGGAAUAACCUCGGGAAACUGAGAAUAAUGCCCGAUAGAACACUAUACCUGGAAUGGUUUGUGUUCCAAAUGAUUUAUCGCCGUAGGAUGGGACUGCGGCCUAUCAGUUUGUUGGUGAGGUAAUGGCCCACCAAGACUAUUACAGGUACGGGCUCUGAGAGGAGUAACCCGGAGAUGGGUACUGAGACACGGACCCAGGCCCUAUGGGGCGCAGCAGGCGAGAAAACUUUGCAAUGUGCGAAAGCACGACAAGGUUAAUCCGAGUGAUUUGUGCUUAACGAAUCUUUUGUUAGUUCUAGAAAUACUAACGAAUAAGGGGUGGGCAAGUUCUGGUGUCAGCCGCCGCGGUAAAACCAGCACCUCAAGUGGUCAGGAUGAUUAUUGGGCCUAAAGCAUCCGUAGCCGGCUCUGUAAGUUUUCGGUUAAAUCUGUACGCUCAACGUACAGGCUGCCGGUAAUACUGCAGAGCUAGGGAGUGGGAGAGGUAGACGGUACUCGGUAGGAAGGGGUAAAAUCCUUUGAUCUAUUGAUGACCACCUGUGGCGAAGGCGGUCUACCAGAACACGUCCGACGGUGAGGGAUGAAAGCUGGGGGAGCAAACCGGAUUAGAUACCCGGGUAGUCCCAGCUGUAAACUAUGCAAACUCAGUGAUGCAUUGACUUGUGGUCAAUGCAGUGCUGCAGGGAAGCCGUUAAGUUUGCCGCCUGGGAAGUACGUACGCAAGUAUGAAACUUAAAGGAAUUGGCGGGGGAGCACCACAAGGGGUGAAGCCUGCGGUUCAAUUGGACUCAACGCCGGU